CUCGAAAGAGAGCCGUAACACAGGUGCUGCAUGGCUGUCGUCGGCUCGUGUCGUGAGAUGUUGGGUUAAGUCCCGCAACGAGCGCAACCCUUGUCAUUAGUUGCUACAUUCAGUUGGGCACUCUAAUGAGACUGCCGGUGACAAGCCGGAGGAAGGUGGGGAUGACGUCAAGUCCUCAUGGCCCUUAUAGGUGGGGCUACACACGUCAUACAAUGGCUGGUACAAAGGGUUGCCAACCCGCGAGGGGGAGCCAAUCCCAUAAAGCCAGUCGUAGUCCGGAUCGUAGUCUGCAACUCGACUACGUGAAGUCGGAAUCGCUAGUAAUCGUGGAUCAGAAUGUCACGGUGAAUACGUUCCCGGGUCUU
rnacentral:rRNA from 1 species